rnacentral:rRNA from 1 species
GCAAGUCGAACGCACUUCUUUCACCGUAGCUUGCUACACCGAAAGAAAGUGAGUGGCGAACGGGUGAGUAACACGUGGGUAACCUGCCCAUCAGCGGGGGAUAACACUUGGAAACAGGUGCUAAUACCGCAUAAUAUCAUUUCUCGCAUGAGAAGUGAUUGAAAGGCGCAACUGCGUCACUGAUGGAUGGACCCGCGGUGCAUUAGCUAGUUGGUGAGGUAACGGCUCACCAAGGCUGCGAUGCAUAGCCGACCUGAGAGGGUGAUCGGCCACACUGGGACUGAGACACGGCCCAGACUCCUACGGGAGGCAGCAGUAGGGAAUCUUCGGCAAUGGACGCAAGUCUGACCGAGCAACGCCGCGUGAGUGAAGAAGGUUUUCGGAUCGUAAAACUCUGUUGUUAGAGAAGAACAGGGAUGAGAGUGGAAAGUUCAUCCUAUGACGGUAUCUAACCAGAAAGCCACGGCUAACUACGUGCC